AUACCUAGGAGUAGCAUUGCAGAGUCAUGUGCUAGAACAUCCAACAUUGAACAGAACCAACUAGAACAUCCAGUGCAACGUUGAACAGAAUUAGCUAGAACUUCCAGUACGCCAUUGAACAGAACCAACUAGAACAUCCAGUACAACGUGGAACAGAACCGGCUAGAACAUCCAGUACAACGUGGAACAGAACCGGCUAGAACAUCCAGUACAACGUGGAACAGAACCGGCUAGAACAUCCAGUACAACGUGGAACAGAACCGGCUAGAACAUCCAGUGCAACGUGGACAGAACCGGCUAGAACAUCCAGUGCAGCAUGGAACGGAACCAGCCAGAACAUCCAGUGCAACGUUGAACAGAAAUGUUGAAAGCAGACACCCUUGCUUGUUUCCUAUUAUAGGGGAAAAACACUCAGUCUUUUACCGUUCUGUAGGCUGUUAGCUAGGGUUGUUUUAAAAUGCCCAUUAUCAAGUUGAGGAAAUUCCCUUUUAUUCCUAGAUUGUUGAGAGUUUUUGCCAUGAAUAGAUGUUGGUUUUGCUAAAUGCCUUUUGCUGCAUCUAUUGAAAUAGUCAUAUAGUUUUUGUUUUUUAUUAUACUGAUUUUCAGUGUUGAACCAAUCUUUCAUUCUUGGUAUAUAUUCCAUUUGGUCAUUUUAUAAAAUCCUUUUUGUACGUUGCCAGAUUCAGUUUACUAACAUUUUUCUUAAACAGCUUUAUUAAGUUAUAAUUGGUAUAGAAUAAACUGCAUGUAUUUAAACAAUUUGGUAAGUUUUCACGAGUAAACACCUGCAAAACCAGUUUGAGGAGAAAAAAAGGUUUCUCAAGCCUGUUAAGAAUUUUCGUGUCUGUGUCUAUGGUACUACACACCAUAGGAAUAUUGGUGUGUAGUUUUGUUUUGUUUUUCCCUUGUGAUGUCUUUGUCUAGCUCUGGUAUGAGAAUAAUACUGGCUUCAUAGAAUAAGUUGGGAAGUAUUCCCUCUCAUCUAUUUUCUGAAAGAAUUUCUAAAGAAUUAUCCUUUCUUCUUUAAGUAUUUGAUGGAACUCACUAGUGGAGCCAUCCAUUCCCAGAUUUUCUCUGGGAAAAUUUUUAAUUAAUUAAUUUCUUUUUUUGAGACAGGGUCUCAUUCUGUUGCCCAGACUGGAAUGCAGUGGUGGGAUCAUGGCUCACUGCAGACUCAACCUCUCAGGAUCAAGCAUUUCUCCUGCCUCAGCCUCCCAAGUAGCUGGGAUUACAGGUGUAUGCCACCACACCUGGCUAAUUUUUUUUAAUUUUUAAUUAUUAUGAGUACAUAGUAGGUAUGUACAUUUAUGGAUUACAUGAGAUAUUUUGAUAUAGAAUGCAUAUUAUAAUGCAAUGAUUAUUAUGCAGUGCAUAAAAAUCACAUCAGGGAAAAUGGGGUAUCCUCAAGCAUUUAUCCUUUGUGUUACAAGCAAUCCAACUAUACUUUUAGUUAUUUUAAAAUGUACAAUUAAAUUAUUUUUGAGUAUAUCUUGUUGUGCUAGAAAAUACUAGGUCUUAUUCUAACUAUUUUUUUCUGCCAAAUGACCAUUUCCAUCCCCCACAGUGUCCCACUACCCUCCCAGCUGCUGGUAACCAUCUUUCUACUCUCUAUCACCAUGAGUUCAAUUGUUUUAAUUUUUGGCUCUCACAAAUAAGUGAGAAUAUGUGAAGUUUGUCUUCUCUGCCUCGCUUAUUUCACUUAAUAUAAUGAUCUCCAGUUCCAUCCAUGUUGUUGCAAAUGACAGGAUCUCAUUCUUUUUUAUGGCUUCCUACUACUCCAUUGUGUAUAUGUACCACAUUUUCUUUAUUCAUUAACCUGUUGAUUGACCCUUCAGUUACUUCCAAAUCUUGGCUAUUGUGAAUAGUGCUGCAAUAAACAAGGCAGUGCAGAUA